rnacentral:rRNA from 1 species
CCUACGGGUGGCAGCAGUGAGGAAUAUUGGUCAAUGGACGGAAGUCUGAACCAGCCAUGCCGCGUGCAGGAAGACGGCUCUAUGAGUUGUAAACUGCUUUUGUACAAGGGUAAACCUGAAUACGUGUAUGCAGCUGAAAGUACGGUACGAAUAAGGAUCGGCUAACUCCGUGCCAGCAGCCGCGGUAAUACGGAGGAUCCAAGCGUUAUCCGGAUUUAUUGGGUUUAAAGGGGGCGUAGGCGGUUUGAUCAGUUAGAGGUGACAUGUCCGAGCUUAACUCGGGAACUUCCUCUAAUACUGUUGAUCUAGACCGUAGCUGCGGUAGGCGGAAUGUAUGGUGUAGCGG